GGUCACUGCUAUCAGUGUUCGCCUAAGCCAUGCGAGUCAUAUGUAGCAAUACAUGGCGUACUGCUCAGUAACACGUGGAUAACCUGCCCUUGGGUCCGGCAUAACCCCGGGAAACUGGGGAUAAUUCCGGAUAACGCAUAUAUGCUGGAAUGCUUUCUGCGUAAAAUGGAUUCGUCUGCCCAAGGAUGGGUCUGCGGCCUAUCAGGUAGUAGUGGGUGUAAUGUACCUACUAGCCUACGACGGGUACGGGUUGUGAGAGCAAGAGCCCGGAGAUGGAUUCUGAGACAUGAAUCCAGGCCCUACGGGGCGCAGCAGGCGCGAAAACUUUACAAUGCGGGAAACCGUGAUAAGGGGACACCGAGUGCCAGCAUCCUAUGCUGGCUGUCCGGGUGUGUAAAAUACACCUGUCAGCAAGGGCCGGGCAAGACCGGUGCCAGCCGCCGCGGUAACACCGGCGGCCCGAGUGGUGAUCGUGAUUAUUGGGUCUAAAGGGUCCGUAGCCGGUUUGGUCAGUCCUCCGGGAAAUCUGACAGCUCAACUGUUAGGCUUUCGGAGGAUACUGCCAGACUUGGAACCGGGAGAGGUAAGAGGUACUACAGGGGUAGGAGUGAAAUCUUGUAAUCCCUGUGGGACCACCUGUGGCGAAGGCGUCUUACCAGAACGGGUUCGACGGUGAGGGACGAAAGCUGGGGGCACGAACCGGAUUAGAUACCCGGGUAGUCCCAGCCGUAAACGAUGCUCGCUAGGUGUCAGGCAUGGCGCGACCGUGUCUGGUGCCGCAGGGAAGCCGUGAAGCGAGCCACCUGGGAAGUACGGCCGCAAGGCUGAAACUUAA
rnacentral:rRNA from 1 species